GAUGAAGAACGCAGCGAAAUGCGAUAAGUAAUGUGAAUUGCAGAAUUCAGUGAAUCAUCGAAUCUUUGAACGCACAUUGCGCCCCCUGGUAUUCCGGGGGGCAUGCCUGUUCGAGCGUCAUUUCACCACUCAAACCUCGCUUGGUAUUGGGCAACGCGGUCCGCCGCGUGCCUCAAAUCGACCGGCUGGGUCUUCUGUCCCCUAAGCGUUGUGGAAACUAUUCGCUAAAGGGUGUUCGGGAGGCUACGCCGUAAAACAACCCCAUUUCUAAGGUUGACCUCGGAUCAGGUAGGGAUACCCGCUGAACUUAAGCAUAUCAAUAAGCGGAGGA
rnacentral:misc_RNA from 1 species